AGAGUCAACUCUGCCCCGAGGCCUAGC
rnacentral:misc_RNA from 1 species